UACAGAGGGGGCAAGCGUUGUUCGGAAUUACUGGGCGUAAAGGGCGCGUAGGCGGCCUCUUAAGUCGAACGUGAAAUCCCCGGGCUCAACCCGGGAACUGCGUCCGAUACUGGGGGGCUUGAAUCCGGGAGAGGGAUGUGGAAUUCCAGGUGUAGCGGUGAAAUGCGUAAAUAUCUGGAGGAACACCGGUGGCGAAGGCGGCAUCCUGGACCGGUAUUGACGCUGAGGCGCGAAAGCCAGGGGAGCAAACGGG
rnacentral:rRNA from 1 species